UACAGAGGUCUCAAGCGUUGUUCGGAUUCAUCGGGCGUAAAGGGUGCGUAGGUGGCGCCGUAAGUCGGGUGUGAAAUUUCGGAGCUUAACUCCGAAACUGCAUUCGAUACUGCGGUGCUUGAGGACUGGAGAGGAGACUGGAAUUCAUGGUGUAGCAGUGAAAUGCGUAGAGAUCAUGAGGAGGACCAGUGGCGAAGGCGGGUCUCUGGACAGUUCCUGACACUGAGGCACGAAAGCGUGGGGAGCAAACAGG
rnacentral:rRNA from 1 species